UACGUAGGGUGCAAGCGUUAAUCGGAAUUACUGGGCGUAAAGCGUGCGCAGGCGGUGAUGUAAGACAGUUGUGAAAUCCCCGGGCUCAACCUGGGAACUGCAUCUGUGACUGCAUCGCUGGAGUACGGUAGAGGGGGAUGGAAUUCCGCGUGUAGCAGUGAAAUGCGUAGAUAUGCGGAGGAACACCGAUGGCGAAGGCAAUCCCCUGGACCUGUACUGACGCUCAUGCACGAAAGCUAGGGGAGCAAACAGG
rnacentral:rRNA from 1 species